UUAAUUGAAGUGUCAUCACCUGCUAGUGA
rnacentral:sRNA from 1 species